CCCCUCGCAGGGUUGCACCUGGAGAGUUUCCAGUACUCUACUGGUUUUGGCUAUGGGAGGGAGAGUCAAGCAGAGGAAUACCCAUUCCAUUCCUAGCUUGGGCCAUGGCUAGUGAGUGGAAGGCAAUCUGCUAAAAGU